GUACACUCCUACGGGAGGCAGCAGUGGGGAAUUUUGGACAAUGGGCGAAAGCCUGAUACAGCAAUGCCGCGUGUGUGAAGAAGGCCUUCGGGUUGUAAAGCACUUUUGUCCGGAAAGAAAUCCUUGGCUCUAAUACAGUCGGGGGAUGACGGUACCGGAAGAAUAAGCACCGGCUAACUACGUGCCAGCAGCCGCGGUAAUACGUAGGGUGCGAGCGUUAAUCGGAAUUACUGGGCGUAAAGCGUGCGCAGGCGGUUUGCUAAGACCGAUGUGAAAUCCCCGGGCUCAACCUGGGAACUGCAUUGGUGACUGGCAGGCUAGAGUAUGGCAGAGGGGGGUAGAAUUCCACGUGUAGCAGUGAAAUGCGUAGAGAUGUGGAGGAAUACCGAUGGCGAAGGCAGCCCCCUGGGCCAAUACUGACGCUCAUGCACGAAAGCGUGGGGAGCAAACAGGAUUAGAUACCCCAGUUAGUCCCAUG
rnacentral:rRNA from 1 species